rnacentral:rRNA from 1 species
UACAGAGGUCUCAAGCGUUGUUCGGAUUCAUUGGGCGUAAAGGGUGCGUAGGCGGCGCGGUAAGUCGGAUGUGAAAUCUCGGAGCUUAACUCCGAAACUGCAUUCGAUACUGCCGUGCUUGAGGACUGGAGAGGAGACUGGAAUUUACGGUGUAGCGGUGAAAUGCGUAGAUAUCGUAAGGAAGACCAGUGGCGAAGGCGGGUCUCUGGACAGUUCCUGACGCUGAGGAGCGAAAGCGUGGGUAGCAAACAGG